GCCAGGUGUGGUGACGCACACCUGUAAUCCCAGCUACUCAGGAGGCUGAGGCAGGAGAAUUGCUUGAACCUGGGAGGUGGAGGUUGCAGUGAGCCGAGAUCACGCCAUUGCACUCCAGCCCGGGCAACAGAGCGAGACCCUGUCUCCA
ensembl:misc_RNA Metazoa_SRP Metazoan signal recognition particle RNA